AGGUUAUGACACAAAAAUAAAAAGAAUCUGUGGUCCCCUUUCAGAAGUAAACGGCUCAUCAAAUUUUCAAAUCACUACUACUUUCAAUUGAGAGUUCAUUGAGUAGCUAAUUGAAAAUGACAAAUAAAUCCCCAUUUGGAGACAGACACUCUUUUUUGAAGUGGCUGAAAAUCUCAUAAUUCACUACUACCACUCAUCAAGAAAGAGCAGGUAGGUCCAGUUUCUUGGCAAAGACAAUUCAUGAUCUUUUUGGUGCACAAGGUUCCUGCAUUAGCCUUCAUUUUAUCACAUCAAGAUUGUAAGUUAUGUUUCUUUUUCCAUCAUCAAACAUCGUUUUCUUGAUCAAGCUUUCAUCCACUCACCGAAUUCUCUUUUUUUCCCUUCUUUAAUAUCCAUGUUCCUUUUCUUUCUUUCUUGAUGCAACUGUAAGGUUUGAUUAUGACUUGUAGAAACAGCUUCUAUAUUAUGAAAAGCUGGAGAUGACUCAGUACAAUACUAAACCUUUCUGUGACAUUUCAAAACAAGGAAUCUUAAUACGCUAGGAAGGUCCUUAUCUAUGUUUCUUUACCUUUCUAACCAUUUUCAGUGGCCAAACAUGAAAUAAAUAAACUGUGGUUUUCACCAAAUUAUGGUUGGUACUUGCACAUGUCUGCCAUAUGACAAGGACCAGGACUUGUUUACUGUUGACAUGAUUUUGAAGGUAUGUUACAAUUACAUUUACAGGAACUUAUUCUUCCCCAUUAUUUUUCAGAGUGAAAUUAUGGGUUAUAUGUGAAUUUUUCUCUUGAUCCAGAGAAUGCUGAAAACUAUCAGUAAAGUCCAAUUGUUAAAUUUAAGAUUAUCUCUAUCAAAAUGGCUUAAGCUAAUUCGACUUGGUUUUCCCUUGCUAUAUAUUAUCUUGUUUUUCCUUGUUUGUUAUUGAUGUGAGACUCCAACAUUACU
rnacentral:misc_RNA from 1 species